rnacentral:rRNA from 1 species
ACGAACGCUGGCGGCGUGCUUAACACAUGCAAGUCGAACGGAAAGGCCCUGCUUUUGUGGGGUGCUCGAGUGGCGAACGGGUGAGUAACACGUGAGUAACCUGCCCUUGACUUUGGGAUAACUUCAGGAAACUGGGGCUAAUACCGGAUAGGAGCUCCUGCUGCAUGGUGGGGGUUGGAAAGUUUUGGCGGUUGGGGAUGGACUCGCGGCUUAUCAGCUUGUUGGUGGGGUAGUGGCUUACCAAGGCUUUGACGGGUAGCCGGCCUGAGAGGGUGACCGGCCACAUUGGGACUGAGAUACGGCCCAGACUCCUACGGGAGGCAGCAGUGGGGAAUAUUGCACAAUGGGCGGAAGCCUGAUGCAGCAACGCCGCGUGCGGGAUGACGGCCUUCGGGUUGUAAACCGCUUUCGCCUGUGACGAAGCGUGAGUGACGGUAAUGGGUAAAGAAGCACCGGCUAACUACGUG